GCCAAGGAUAUAUUUGGUUGACUAGGUUCAUAUGACCAGGUGACUUUUCUAGGUCUAGAGAUCUGAGGAGGUGACAAUGUAAUAAGAGACAGCCUUCUUGGAAGGAAUGAGUUAAAUAUGUUUAAACCUAGGUUCCUGAGGGGAAGAACAUGUCCUCUGGGAGCCACAGCCUGCUCUACCCCAUUGGCCUCCAUGUCUGCCUGCGCUGUGCACCCCUCACAGCAGAGCGGGGACGCCACGCCAGGCUUUCCAGUCUUGCUUAGCGUGCUUGGCCAAAGGUGACAAUGACUUAGUGGGCUAAGGUCGUGCCCUCCCUCCCUUCAAAUCAAUAAUUUAAUGUGACUUAUCAGAAAGAGAAACAACUGUUUACUUUAAAACUCUGGAUCCCAUAAAGGGAGAGGGGAAAGGCCUAAACCCCACAGAAGCUCAGGGCUGCGCCCACAGCCGCCCGCAAAGGCAGCAGACACGCGGAGGGGAGGCACCAUCCCACUGGCCAGAGGGCCUGGGCUGGGGAAGACAGAGCUGACUGCAGAUUUUUGAGAGCCGAAGCUUACAGUGCCCACCUGGAGAACUGGAGGGGUGCUCAGACACUGCUAUAACAUCCUGAGAAGGGAAACGGGCCCAAGCCCUUGCCCGAUAGAGCGCUUUCCAAGCAGGUCCUACCAGGGCCUUUUAAACUAGCAAAUUGUUCACCUCCCACUGAUUCUUCCCAACUGAGGCCAAGAGAUUUCUGGAGCUUCUUGUCAUGGGUAGCAGCAUCCAUUAACUAACUAGGAAAUGGGGGUUCUUCUAGGUCCUUCAGGUAAAGACCAAAUGGAUGAGCCCAGCUGACUCAUUAGGAGGGGCAGUAGGGAAGGGAAGAACCAGAUACUUAAUCACACAGUUGUGCCCACCAUUGCUGCACCCAGAGGGCUGUUUGCAUGACUGGUACCAACUAGAAUUCUGGAGUCCGUAUUUGGUGUGAGUUGCAGCAAAACUGCCUAGAUGAAGGAUUUCACCUUGAAGAGAGUAGGUCAGCAGUGGCCCAAGCGGCACUUCCGUGCUGCUUGCAAAUGACCGCACUCUAUAAAGGCAAGUCAGGGUCACAGACUGGAAAAAAGAAGUCAGCCACUUGAUAGGAAGAUAAGCAAAUCGACACAGUCCAAAAAGAAAGAAGGGGGGGAACAAAAGGCAGGCAGGGUGCAACGCUCAAUCCUAUGGAGAAUGAGUGACAUUCAUGCUGUGCUUAUAACUACACAGUCCAGGCUGAAGAGGGUGAUUUCAUGGACUGCACGUGAAUAAAGGGCUUCUUUACUGAAAAACACAGAGGGAUCAUUUUUAGUUGUUAAGAAAGAGCCAGUUUUAUGACCAAAGCAAGACUCUGGUCAAACGUUAACAAUGCAGUUAUCCUGCGAAAAAAAUUAAUUGGCCCCCAAUUCUCUCCUCUUCUAGCAUUUGGGGGGAAAUAAAGGAUUAGGUAAAAUGAUUUAUUUCCUCUCCUUCUCCACUGUGGGCAGGAGUUCAUACAUCAGUGAGAAACCAUUUUUAACAGGAAACCGAGAAAACCAGAAGGUAUUUAUUCACAGGAGGCUCCCUUUUGCUAGAAAAUGAGUAUUAUUAACAAAAAAAAAUUGAACAGUUAUUUGCUCUCCAUUUUCCUCCUUUCCUUUGCUCCCCACCCUUUCCACCCACUGCUAUGGUGGAAAAUGACUGAAUAAGAUUUAAAAUCUGAGCACCGUUGGAUGCCUCUGUAUCCAAGAGAUGUUAUACUGAGAGUAGAUGACAGCACAUCUAAGUGACAUAUCCCCAUGCAAAAUAAUUUUCAUUUUGUUAGACUGCAGAAUUUACCACAUUUACUGCUGAUGGAUUGGGAUCUAUGGGGAGGGAGAAGUUGGGGAGGCGCUAUUAAUCUAGUAAUAUUAUUAUGGCUUGUAAUGUGGUCUUCCACUAAGUAUUUGCUUCCUAAAAUUGAUUCCCUCUAGAUUCUUUCUUUCUCAGCACUUUGCGAAAAUUGAUGCAAACAGAUUUCCCAUUCGUUUGCAUAGAAUAUCUUUGUUCCCCCUGGCAGGAGGACUUUGUGGGGUGGAUGAAGAACACAAGGCAGUGAGUCCCUUUGUUAGCUCGACUGUUCCAGACACAGAAGCCUGACAUCUUCCUAUCUUUCCACUGCUCACGAUGCUCUCUACUCGUGGCCUCUCUUUUCUCUGCUCAGGUCACUGUACGGAGCUGGCGAAAGCUUCCCUGAUGAUGUUCAGUGGCAAUGGUGGUGCAUGGAGGUGAAGUUAACACCUUCAUGGCUACAGAUUUUCCUUAGCAGAGCUGUGGAGUGUGACAAUGGUGUUUGUGUCCAAACUAUCAAACGCCAUUAUCACACUAAAUAGCUACUGUUAGGCAAUCCUUCUGUUCAGGAAAUGCCUCGGCAUCUGUUUGGUAUGGGCAAGAAGGUUCAUCUCUGAGCAGCGCUCCCAGUCACGCGUCGCUACUGAAUAAAUUCAGGUCCCUCGGUACUCAUAACCAAUAUGUCAUCUGAACUUUGCAUCUCACAUGCAUUUGUUAAAUAUUUUAGCCGAUAAUGAAUAUUCUUGUUUUCUUCAGUCAAGAAAAAGAUGGCAGAGUCCCCCAGAGCACCCAGCGCAAGACUAGACACAUGGUAAUUGUUCAACCCAUGCUUAUUGAGUUGAAAUGAAGUUAGGAAAGUGUUAGAUGCAGAAAACUCAGAUGGGGUUAAAUCAAGGCUAUGCAAACCGCAGGUUUUUAGGCGCAGAGUUAGGUAUGCGGGUCUUCCACUUCUCAUCAUGAAAACACAACCUUCUAAUAAACUUACAUGUGACUUAACUGACCUUUCAGAAAUUCUGGCACAUGUUUGACUUCUACUGAUUUUAAUCAAUCACCAGGCUGAUUACUGAAUUUGUAUGCUAGGUCUCUUAUGUUUCAAUGAAUUACCAUCAGAAAAUUAUACACGAACUGUGCUUGGAUUGCCAUAGCAAAUCUGAACAUUUUAAACCCAAGCAGCUUCUAGGACAAUUGAACCAGCUGGAAGGUCUGGUUUGAAACACAUUCUUUCUCUGAGAGGCAUUUAAAGUAAGGAGUAGUGUUUGUUUGUGUUGGGCUAAAGCUUAUCUCUCAUGACUUGGUUAAAUGAGUAAGUAUAUGUUUAAUCAAAUUGAAAGAGUUGGGGCUACCAGCAGAAAUAAAUCCAUUUAUUCAAUAA